UUCUGUGGUGCAUCGUCUUGUUUAUUUAUUUAUUUAUUUUCAAACUAGCGCGGUUUCGCUUUUGUAAAAAAAUAGCAGUUUUGUAGCUUUCGUGGUGCUUUUGGCUCAUUGACCUGAUUUUAGCUGCACAGAAAUGUAAAGUUUGUGAGGUUUUCGCUUCUUUGUUUGUUCGUUUAGUGUUCAGACAUUUCUGUUCUCAGUCGGUUUGAUUCGAGUUUAUGUCUGAGUUCCUUUAAACACCAGUGUUUCUGUUGCCUUGCACAUCAAGUUCCACAUUUAUCACUUUGCUUCCAAAAUCAAAAUUUCAAGCUUAUACCACUUCCUUUCUAAAUUUACCGGCAUGUAUCGGUUUAAGAUUAUCACUGGAAACAACUACAGUAUAUAACAGCAUAUUCAUAGUAAAUGGCAAAUUACUGUUAAAACUUUAUCAUUUUGUAAAUUUAAACUGAAAAGAAAGGUCUUCCAAGACACUGAAGUUCACAAAAACAGAAGCAGUUAAAGAAUAAAUGGGAAUAUUUUCAGAUUUAUUACAGUAAAAACCGGUUGUUAUUAUUAUUAUUAUUAUUAUUAUUAUUAUUAUUAUUAUUAUUAUUAUUAUUAGAAGUUGUUCUUCUCAGGAACUCAAAAGAGGAAAAAAACAAAACCUCCGUUGAUGAAUCCAUCGACGGCUCAUUAAGCUUUAUUUUAACAAGUCAUUCUGUCUGUAAUUUAGCCAUAAAGUUUAUUUUUGUUAAUUUCAAGUGGAUUAUUUCACCUGAUUUUGAUCCAAAUUCACUCUUAUUACGGGAAUUUACUGAAACAAAUGAAAAUAAAUUCCUGAAAAACUGCAGUCAGACGCAAUAUUUAGAAUUUAAGACAACAUUCGGUGAUCAAAACUAGCAAAAGUUCUUACAAAGAAAAGUAUUUCUUAACUUAAUUCCAUGGGUUUUGUGACUUUUUUUUGUGUUUUGUAUGAACAUAAUGUUGUUUAUUGGUGAAGGUUUGUGGCCAAACGUUAUUCCAACAUAGAGCUGCAACUAAUGAUUAUUUUUAUAAUUAAUCGAUUAGUUGAUGGUGAAAAAUGUUGAUCAAUUCCUUGAUUUGUCCAAAGAUAUUCAGUUUAUUGUCACUAAGAAGGAAAGAAACUGGAAAAUACUCACAUUUAAGAAACUGCAAUCAUAGAAUUUUGACUUUUUUUUUAAAGUAAAAACCUUCUCCAACCGAUUAAUUAGUCAUUAAACUCAUGUUCAACUAAUCGAUUAAUCGUUGCAGCUCUAUUGCAGUGAUAUUUUAUUUCCCAAACUUUCUUCAGUGACGUCUUUUUCUGAAACCACUCCAACACAAACAGAUGGUAAACUGACUAAAUUCCAAUAUAUGUUCGAUGCAAAGAAGCUUUUUACUGGAAAACAAGGUUUUAGCUGCUUUUCACCAGUUUUAAGAAAGAAAAAUGGAAUUUGUUUGACUUUUUGGCUUUUUAAGAGUUUGGUUUGUUGGUAAAUUCACUAAAAAUCAACCUAAGAUUCACUUCUCAACUAUGUUUGUAGUUAAUCCAAAUUAUUCUGUAGAUCUAAAGAAAAAUAAGGAUGAAGUCUGAUUGUUAGUUGAGUAUCUUUGGUUCGGCGCUGGCAGUUUAUUGAUGGUUGUUCUCCUGAUGUUGCUGCCAGUAGCUUUAAAAACCCAACUUCAGACAGAACUUUUAAAAAGAACUCGAGGAAAUCAAGCAAAAAGUUUUAUGUUGCAUCCGGACAGCAAAAAUUUGAUUACAAUACUGUGAAAAUAUUAUGUAGCUUUAAGUUUAGAAUAUUUGGAACCAUUUUUCAGAGAUUUUAAAAUCUACAACCAGCUGAAAAACUUCAAAGCUUAAGAGAUUUUCAGUUCAGUUGAAGACUAUUCUGUGUUCUGAUGAAUAAAUCAAAACUUUAAAAAGCCGUUUAGUUGAUCCAAUUCCAACUUCGCAUGAUUUUUGAGCAACUCAGCCUCAACUUUUAGUCUUAUAUUUUAUUAUUUAGCGCCUUGAGGCUUGUUGAAGAGGUUUUAAUCAGCUCACUGGAGGAUUUAAUCAUUUACUUUCCCGAUAUUUUUGUCUUUGUCGUCUGAUUUUGCGGAAUCAGUUCCUUAUUAUGGACAUUUCCCAUGAAGGGUUGCAAAUCAAAACUCACCAUUAGUCCCACUGACCAGGUUAAAGAAUGGAAAAAGCUCAUGCGAUGAUGUUUUCUGAGCCAGUUUCAGUGAUUUUAAUGGACAUUUACAUUCAAUUUGAGUCAUUUCUUUCACAAAAUUUGAAAACUGUACCUGUACAGGUGUUUGUUUGUUUUUUUGGUCUUUUGUAGCACAAAAAUGGGUCUUAUUUGUUGGAAUUAACCCUUUAUCUGUUUAUUUGACAAUCAGUUUUUCUUUUCACGUUGUCUUUGGUGCAAUUUCCCAAAACAAAGUGACUGCUGUGUCCACAAACAGGUGAAAUAAUGGGUUUGAAUACUAUUUUGAAUGCUAUUAUGCCAUUUAGUAUUUCAGUGGGGUUGUUUGUUGGUCAUUUUUUAAUUGCGGUGUUACAUUCUCCAAUGAUUUGGUCGUUUUUCUGGUCUUGCACCAACCCAGUUCCUCAAUAUUUGCACUCAGUAAUUUGGCUUCAGCCCCCAAAAGUCUUUAAAUCUCCAGUUUUUCUGCAGUUUCUUUAAAAAAAAAAAAAAAAAAACAACUACAAACUGUGUUGCAUUCAGAGUUUUGACAGUUUUGUUGGACUCACCUCUAGAAUCAGUAUUUGUGACGCUUUAUAGGGACAAAAUUGGUUUAACUUGUGUAGCAGUCACUCACACAUUGUAAUCUUGCAGGAAUAUGAAGAAAUAUACGACCACAUGUCAGCUUCUAAACACUUCACGGCUUGAAUCCGAAUCUUUCUCGUCUCUUGAAGCCAUAAUCUGAAGCAUGUAUGUAUCUGAAACACCCACAGCUGUUCGUUUGUCAUUGAGUUUCUCUUCUUUGUGAUCGAUUCUGAAUGAAAAGGAGCACUUUAUGGCGUCCAUGUAGUCCAGAGGGCAGUAGUGCUUGCUGUGAUUUGUUCCGUUGGUUGUUCUCACUGUAACUGCAGACCAAGCAAUGCACUGACUGGCACAUUCUACAUAACCUGUAAUUUUACGGACAUUUUGAUUGCUACGAAUUAUUUGUGCCUUGGCCUUUUACAGUACCCUUAUUUUCAAUGUUUACUCUUUCAGUUUCGGUCACGCUUUUCUCGCUACGGCUGCCGAAAUGCUGCACGAAGCUGUCGGUGAUAUCUGUGUGGACGGCUGCCUUUAAUCUGCCAAACAGCUUCCAUCCUGAAGCAGGAAGCAGCGGCUGUCGGGAGGUAAAGUCUCUGUCUGCAGGACUUAAAAAGCACCAACAAAGCAAAAGGAGGCCCGCCGAAAUCUGCAAGCUCCGAAGAUUCUCCCUCUUUGCCUGAUGAGAAGUUUGCAUUAUUAAAACUCUUGCAGAUUUCAGUGCAUAUAAGCUUUUCCACUCUGAAUUCUCAUCUGGGUAAGCACAAUAUUUCCACAAGUGUUUGCACGUAGCCGAAAUUUAAAGUGAAAGAAAGAAAAACAAAGUAUCGACUGAAAGCACAAAACCUCACGAUUUAAAGACACAUACGACUUUUCUGUCUUCAUAGAAGCGCUCACUAUGUGCUGCAAAACACAAAAUGCUUCCAAGCUUUUAGUAUUUUUAGAAAAAGGGGGUGAAAGUUAAAGGGUUUACACAAGUUUUGCAGUUAAACUCCUACUCAUAGUGCCGUCAGCCCUCAAUCCAAAAUUCACAUUUUCAAGGACAGAUUGUGUUUAGAUUUAAUCAUCAAUUCUCAUUUAGAGCUCAUCUUUUUACAUAGAUACUUUACAUUUUGUAGCAUGACAAGCUUGGCAGGUCAUCAAAGUGAAGAUGACUAACAGGCCAUAUUUAGAAAAACCCACAACGUCCUUUACUCUCGUUCUGUGCCACAUAUGAAGUUCUGUCUCCACCGUUGGUUUUUAAUUGUUAGAAAAAAACCCCACUUGAUUUAGAUUAAAAACAGCCGCUGCUGCCAGAGUUUAGCACCACAACGUGUCGGGUUUGUCAGUAAAGAAGUUUAUGAUGUUCUACUUCAAUGGUGGAGGUAAAAACAGCAAAUAGUGACGAAUCAGUCCCUUCUAAUGUUGGUGUAAGUUUGUGCAUUUCUAGAGCUUUCCAUUUGACUCCCCUCAGUUUGUCAAGUUUUCAUCACAUACAAAAUAAAACCAAACAAAAAAACUGCAGCACAGUUUAGACAUAAUCAGAAAAUGUGGAGUAAAAUUCUGAAAACAGGCCAUUUUCCACUCCAGGAACUCAUAGGAACCUUUGUCCAUGUUUCAACUGCAAGAAUCACCCUGUAGAACCUCUUUUGUGGACCUGAAAAACCUGUUGAUGCCAAUCAGUUAAACUCUAAGAACAGAAAUGCUAGGACAAUGUUUUUGCCCUCCAGAUGUUCUCCUCUCCAGCUAAAAUUCACCAUUCAUGCACUAUGUUCUCUUUCCUACAUGCUAGAACUGGAGUUUCACCCAGUAAACACUAUUUCCUGUUGUUUUGGUGAACUCUGAGUUAAUGUUCUUGGAUCUGACAAACUGAAAGGAUCGACCACGGGGUUGUUUUACAUUCAUACCAUCUUCCACCUGCCCAAGUUCUGUCUGGAUGUACAGUAUUAUUACUUUAUCUAACCCCGUUCAUGUGUGCAGGUUUGUCCAUCCAAGAAAGAUGCUACUGAGCAUGCUCAGUGUGGCCAAAAAUACAGAAAAUCUGGGAAACUUUUUCAAUCUACUGAGCACCUUUCAUCUCCCACAAUCUAAAGACGCCUUAGCUACCAUUUGGGAUUUUGAAUCACAACUUUUUACUUCUUUAACAGAAUCUAAAAGUUUCAGUUCGGUUUUCUCCUUACUGCCAGAAUCUACUUGAAAAGUGCCAAAGACCUGUCAGCCCUGUCCUGAUGCUGUGAUAGAAACUAAACCUGUAGACUGAAGGAGGGGAAAUAUUCACAAAACAAAACAAAAGACAACUAAAACCGAGUGUCUCUCCACAGAUAUCAUGUCCAGCUUCGUGCUCGUUGUCUGGCAGCAGCUUUUUUGGGUCAGAAACAGUUUUGUUGUUCUUAAGUUUCAUUUAAGGGAAAUUUGGACAACUUUACACUCGUGGCCUUCAGAGCUGUGCGUCAUUUUUCUCAUUCCAGUUUGAAAAAAUAAAACAAACUCGCCAUUUCUAUUCUGUAUUAGACCACUUUGAACAUUUGGUUUCGAUGAUAUAAUAUGCAAAUGUAUUCUUACUUGAUUUUUUUAUUUUUUGUCUUUUCAAUUGCACCAGUUAUUAAUAAAGUAUUGAACUGAA
ensembl:lncRNA